rnacentral:rRNA from 1 species
CCUACGGGUGACAGCAGUGGGGAAUAUUGCGCAAUGGGCGAAAGCCUGACGCAGCGACGCCGCGUGAGGGAUGAAGGUCUUCGGAUCGUAAACCUCUGUCAGCAGGGAAGAACGGUCCCUGUGCUCAUCAGCAGUGAAUUGACGGUACCUGCAAAGGCAGCACCGGAUAACUCCGUGCCAGCAGCCGCGGUAAUACGGAGGGUGCGAGCGUUAAUCGGAAUUACUGGGCGUAAAGCGCUCGUAGGCGGUAUGUCAAGUCAAGGGUGAAAUCCCCGCGCUCAACGUGGGAACUGCCUUUGAAACUGGCAAACUUGAGUGUGUGAGAGGAUAGUGGAAUUCCAGGUGUAGGAGUGAAAUCCGUAGAUAUCUGGAGGAACAUCAGUGGCGAAGGUGACUAUCUGGCACAUAACUGACGCUGAGGAGCGAAAGCGUGGGUAGCAAACAGGAUUAGAUACCCGAGUAGUC